CCUGAACUAUCACUCAAGUAAGACGAAACGUUGUUCCAUAAUUUAGUACAUGUACCGUCGAAACCCCCCACUUCAAAUAACAUUCUCACCCUCGUCUCCCAUUCUCCACUAAUUUAACCUAAUAUAAUCGCCAUUUCAUUUGUUCUUAAUCCCUUACACGGAUUACAUUUAAAUUCCUAUCCCUACUCUCUUGUAUUCCAUACCGUUCGCCUUCAGCGCUCCUCCCCUCCCCGUUCACCAGCCCUACCCCUCUUUCGCCGGCGGCAGCCACGUCUUGCUGAUCCCAGUGAUAUGUGUCGCCAUCUGCACAUCUGCUGAUCCCAGUCAUUUAUGCCCUUGUACCGCCCCACUCUUUCCUCAAGCGACCUCACGACUGCUUCACACCCAAGCUUGUGCCGGUGAGCAGAGAGAAUUGCGAUGCUACUCCCUUGCCUAUGUGUCUUGGGAGGUGUUCUCCUGGUCCUCCCCACAAAUGCCACGAAGCAGCCCUCCUAUGAACAACACCUACGUGUGGGGGCAAUCGUGGAGCCAGACGGCCCCGUGAUGGUGGUGGAGGACGUGGUCGAUGUCCGCAUUACCCUAUGCGAUUUUCGUGAGCUGGAGCGACUCCAUAUACCCCAGUUCCGGCGCCAGAUCCAGCAAGCGGAAGCGGUUCUCCAGCAGACCUCGGACACAGUUCAUAAACUAAACCAUCCACUCACGCUGACAUAUUUCUCUACUCUCAUGCUAUCUUUCCUAAAUAUCCAACAAUCCUUUGAUAGUCUGCUAGAAUGGACCCCUUUUUCAACUUACCUUAAAACGCCAGUAGCCCACGCCAGGUCCAAGCGUGGUCUCAUCGACAUUGGUGGGAGAUUGUUAAAAGGCCUCAUUGGUACAGCUACGGAAGCCGAUGUUGCUGAAGUUCACGAUCAGUUAGACAAAUGGGGUACUAUUUUGAAUAACCAGGCCAUUGUUCUCAGUUCCCAAAACAAAGCUAUUGAGACGGUUGUUAAGACUCAAAAAGUUAUCAUAGACCGCCUCAACAACUUCACAUCCCUCAUAACCCAGCUUCAGCAGGUCCAACACCAGUACUUAUUGGCUCACCAGUUGGCUUUAAUGGCAGCAAACCUCAGAGCUGUCUACCUUGCAAUCACAAAUUUUAAAUUAGCACUGCAGGACACAUUUACACUGCUCAGAGACGUGUU